GGCCAUUCCCUGGCACCAGAGCGCGCCACGUCACGAAUUAAAAGAUCGGCCAUCGGAUCUAGCAUCGAACGGUGCUGGACAAUCUUCCAGAGGCAUCGAGCCUGGUCGCCUUCUCUUCCCCGUGCCCUCCCCCGCCGUCGCCUUCCGUUCCCCCUUCUCUUCCUCUCCAGCCCUGCCGCCGCCGCCGCACCUCCAAAUAAUCCUACAGCGCCAGCCCGGGCGAGCGACAGCGACUGUGAUGGCGCCUAAAAGGACUGCGACGAUGCGGAAUCGGUGCCAGCCUGCCAGGACGCAGGGGCCUGGGGAGUCUGCACGCUCCCGUUCGCCUCGUGUUUGUCCCUACAACUCCCGCUACCGCCGGUGGCGCGGCGCUGCUCCAUUCCACCGCCACACCGCCUCCUCUCCCGCCCGCGGCCGCGGAUGCCUCGUUGCUCUCCCGGCACAUGGUCACGACCACCUCUGAGCCCUCACUUGCGUCGCGGCUGUUUGCAAGGGUCGUCGUUGUCAUUGCUGAGUUCCACGGUGGAAGCGCGGACAGGCAGCUGCGAAACGGGUGCAGUCGCAGGAUCGAGCUCUAUGCACGCAUCGGCGUCGAGCAUGAAAUGCCUAACGAUCCAGAAAUAUUGGUAGGCAUCUUACUUCAUGAAAUUUCUGAUGUAUUCUCGAAGAUAUUGCUACUCAUUUGGAAGUGUCAAUGGAAACACAUAUGAGAAUAUUUCAAUCAUCGUUAUAUUUGGUGGGCCUUUCGCUGCACCAUGUUUCAUUCUGACAUCGCUAGACAUUUUAAAACUUCAAGAUGGUCUUUCUGUUUUGAUCAAUGUGGUAAUUCAUUCAUGGUAAUUUGCUGAUUACAAACCAUGUUUUGCCAUUUUGCCAUUCUGACAUCUACUGGAUACAUUCUAUAUUAUUUAGCUUACCAGCUGUCUAUUUCCUGAGAAUUAUCGAGAUAAAAACAAACGUGGCUCUGAUUGCUAAUUUGCUAUCGCCUAUCCGGAGCUCUUUUGCAAUGGAAAAGGCAAAAUGAUAUAUUUUGAUUUUUUCCCAUUUACUGACAUUUUUUAAGCAGAUAAUCUCUUCUGUUGAAACAACUCUUUCACAGGAAACCCAUACUAGAUUGCCCCUGAGGUAUGACAGUUGAAAGGAUCUGCCAUGCGUGGUUUCCAACUCCAGAGAUGUGUGAGUGUGUGACCUACUUGAAAUUCUUUAGGUUAUAGUGAAUAAAAAUGAGUACAGUCUUGAAGUUGAUAUCUGGAGCCUUCAUUCCACAAUUAUUGAAAUGGAAACUGGGAGACAUCCUCGGCACCAGUAUGAAGAUUGGCUCGGCCAUCCUUUUGUUCAGAACGACCAAGCAAUAGAAGCAACCAGACGCAAUAUCACUUAGUUGAGAAAUGGACUAUUCCUCGACAGAGGCAUGUCUUCAAAAGGAUUCUUCAUACUUGCCUUCCCUUGCAUUUGGUUCCAAUGGAGUCCAACAAAGAACCUUCAUCCAAGAGAAGCAUUACUCCACUAGGGACAUCAGAGAAUUGACUGCACGUGAUUUCGCAAGGCUUUCUAUGCCUGCUCCUUCACAUUUUGUGAUCAUCCUUCACAAUUUUUGAUCAUCAUGUCUUCCUGGUCCAUCUGCUCAUCUCAGCAUCCUGGCUGAGAAGUGAGAACCACGAUUGUCCCACUGCAGGCAUAUCAGAGCAAGCAUGUCUGUCCCAAUGUCUAUGCUCAAACAUUUUACGGCAGUUCAAGCAAUCAAACUACAGUUCCCUUCCUCAUGAUGUCGAAGGGAGGGACAUUUUUUCAGUGAUGGAACAAUCUUCCUGGAUGAAGAUGCAUUUGUCCAAAACUGUUAACAUGUACUCUAUUAUUAUUUAAUGUUGGGCGUGGUAUGAUGUAACAAUGUGGUAUUCUAUUGCGUUGCGUGGCAUGGAGUUAUGUAUCAAAUGGUGGCAGCUAUAGCUUCUGCUCUGCCUGAUCUAUCGAGCCAUCCUUCUGUACGAGGCAAGAUCUCAA